rnacentral:rRNA from 1 species
CGAACGGGUGAGUAACACUGGGCAACCUGCCCAAAAGAGGGGGAUAACACUUAGAAACAGGUGCUAAUACCGCAUAACCAUAGUUACCGCAUGGUAACUAUGUAAAAGGUGGCUAUGCUACCGCUUUUGGAUGGGCCCGCGACGCAUUAGCUAGUUGGUGGGGUAAAGGCUUACCAAGGCAAUGAUGCGUAGCCGAACUGAGAGGUUGAUCGGCCACAUUGGGACUGAGACACGGCCCAAACUCCUACGGAAGGCAGCAG